ensembl:lincRNA 1700025K24Rik RIKEN cDNA 1700025K24 gene
AGCUUCCUCUGAGACCCUGAGAUCCUAGUGUGACCAAGCUCCUGUUAUCCGAGGAUCCUUAAGUCCUAGGAUCUUGGCCAUGUUACAGCACCUGGAAAGUGGUGUCUCCUCUGGGGACCAUGGGGCUCUCUGAUGUGUUUGAAACCAAGUCCACACCUAUAUGCCCAAUCCUGAAUCUGUUCUUUACUUCCUGGUCACUGCUCUAUCUGCCUCACUGGAGGUCUGCUGCCACCCAGGACUACCAGACUUGAACUGAAACGUCAGGCAGACAUGGGCACAACACAGCUAUUGGUGGCAUGUAAGAAGAAAGAAGGAGUCAUUGGAACCAGAUUCACUCAGUUCUAAGAUCUCAAGAAAUAUACUGAACCUACUGGUACUCAGAGAAAUCCUAAUUCAUAGACUGCCUUCUCAGGAGGACCCCCCCCCCCAUACCAAAGGCAUUGUGUAUGGAGCCUUCCCAGAAAGAGCCCUAAGAUAUAAAAUCUCUGAAAAAAAAAUCCCAGAUCAAAUUGUAACAAGUCAUUUCUACCUGGCCAUGCUUUAGUAAGCAAAUGAUUACAUGGCUCUGGAGAAAGGUGCUACAGAAGGUAGACCUUUCUAGAACAGCCUACACUGGUACAGGUAAAAAAAUGAUACUCAGGAAGUGGGAUGGACAUAUCUACUUGGUAUCUUACAGAACAAAAUACAGAAUUCAUCGUAAAGCCUUGAGAUUGAAGAAUAAAAUAUCAAUCUAUGUUAAUUGC